rnacentral:lncRNA from 1 species
UGACCAGGAAUUACUGCAAUGAAAAAUCAAGUGUCACUGGGAAUCAAGCCCUGCCUGCAGUAGGUGAGCCUAAACAAGGAUUACAAACUACUAGGGAAGGCUUCCCACAACUCUAGUGCUUUAAGCUCCUUUUGGAAGCAUUUAACCUCAUUUCAUUCCCUUUGCUUUCUACCCACUGAAUGUUUUCCUUUUCUCUCUGGUAUUUCUAUACCACUGCAGUCAACUAGUCAAACAUGAGGAACUCAGACAUGAAAUGUGACCAGCCCAGAUUUAUUUGUCCAUGAAUUUGUUGAACAGCUGUCUCUCCUGACAUCGAUCUGGAAGUGCAGUUCUGCCAUACAACCACACAAGGAAACGUACAGGAUGCUUAGUUUCACAGGCCUCCCUGAGAAGCACAUAGAUAACCCGUAAACAUGAGGCACCGUGUUGGCUCUGACCUACAUCAGCGGAAGACUGGGCAGCAGCAGAGGUGGCUCCUGGGAUCCUGCUGUCUGAGGCAUUCCCAAGAUCUGGCUCCACCCAGCCGUCUAAUCCUUGCAGACAGCCUGGCUGAAGUUCUACAAACCCAACAUGGC